UUUCCGUAGGUGAACCUGCGGAAGGAUCAUUACAGAAUUGUCUGGGGGGCCUACCUCUGGGGAAGCCUCCCAACAAAUCAUCCACCCCUCUUGUGAACCAAAGGUGUCAGAGUCAGUAGAGCCGGCCUCUGGUCCGGCUCGAGAGCUUUGCGCCCUUUUAUCAUUACAUACCCCAGAAAGUCUCUGAAUGUCAUUGUGCGAUAACCGCAAUAAAUACAACUUUCAGCAACGGAUCUCUUGGCUCUCGCAUCGAUGAAGAACGCAGC
rnacentral:misc_RNA from 1 species